rnacentral:tRNA from 1 species
GGUCGAUUAGCUCAGCUGGUCAGAGCGUUCGGUUUACAUCCGAAAGGUCGCAGGUUCGAUCCCUGCAUCGACCA